rnacentral:rRNA from 1 species
GAUCCUGGCUUAGGAUGAACGCUAGCUACAGGCUUAACACAUGCAAGUCGUGGGGCAGCAUAUAGAUAGCUUGCUAUUAUGAUGGCGACCGGCGCACGGGUGAGUAACGCGUAUCCAACCUUCCCCAUAGUAGGGUAUAGCCCGGCGAAAGUCGGAUUAAUCCCCUAUGUUGUUUGAAGCGGACAUCUAAUUCAAACCAAAGAUUUAUCGCUAUGGGAUGGGGAUGCGUCUGAUUAGGUUGCAGGCGGGGUAACGGCCCACCUGGCCGACGAUCAGUAGGGGUUCUGAGAGGAAGGUCCCCCACACUGGUACUGAGACACGGACCAGACUCCUACGGGAGGCAGCAGUGAGGAAUAUUGGUCAAUGGGCGCGAGCCUGAACCAGCCAAGUAGCGUGCAGGAUGACGGCCCUACGGGUUGUAAACUGCUUUUAUGCGGGGAUAAAGUGCGGCACGUGUGCCGUUUUGCAGGUACCGCAUGAAUAAGGACCGGCUAAUUCCGUGCCAGCCGCCGC